GGAGGGGUGGCCGAGUGGUUGAUGGCGGCAGACUGUAAAUCUGUUCUGUAAAAAGCACACUGGUUCAAAUCCAGUCCUCUCCACCA
rnacentral:tRNA from 1 species